rnacentral:rRNA from 1 species
CACGUAGUUAGCCGGGGCUUCUUAGUCAGGUACCGUCUUGCUUCUUCCCUGCCGAUAGGGCUUUACAUGCCGAAGCACUCCUUCACCCACGCGGCGUCGCUGCAUCAGGGUUCCCCCCAUUGUGCAAUAUCCCCCCACUGCUGCCUCCCGUAGGAGUCUGGGCCGUGUCUCAGUCCCAAUGUGGCCGUCCGCCCUCUCAGGCCGGCUACCGAUCGUUGCCUUGGUGGGCCGCUGCCCCCGCAACAAGCUAAUCGGACGCGGACCCAUCGCAUGCCGGGAUUGCUCCCUUUCCGUGCGGCGCCAUGCGGCGCCGUGCGCAUAUGCGGUAUUAGCGGCUGUUUCCAGCCGGUAUCCCCCUGCAUGCGGCAGGUUGUCCACGCGUUACUCACCCGUCCGCCACUCGGGCAGAUAUCACUAGGUUUCAAUCUCGCCCCCGUUCACUUGCAUGUGUUAGGCACGCCGCCAGCGUUCAUCCUGACG